rnacentral:rRNA from 1 species
AUUGAACGCUGGCGGCAGGCCUAACACAUGCAAGUCGAGCGGAUGAGGGGUGCUUGCACCCUGAUUCAGCGGCGGACGGGUGAGUAAUGCCUAGGAAUCUGCCCGAUAGUGGGGGACAACGUUUCGAAAGGAACGCUAAUACCGCAUACGUCCUACGGGAGAAAGUGGGGGCUCUUCGGACCUCACGCUAUCGGAUGAGCCUAGGUCGGAUUAGCUAGUUGGUGGGGUAAAGGCUCACCAAGGCGACGAUCCGUAACUGGUCUGAGAGGAUGGUCAGUCACAAUGAAACUGGGACACGGUCCAGAAUCCUACGGGAGGCAGCAGUGGGGAAUAUUGGACAAAGGGCGAAAGCCUGAGCCAGACAUGCCGCGUGUGUGAAGAAGGUCUUCGGAUUGUAAAGCACUUUAAGUCGGGAGGAAGGGCUGCAGGUUAAUGCCUUGCAGCCUUGACGUUACCGACAGAAUAAGCACCGGCUAACUUCGUGCCAGCCGCCGCGGUAACAC